UAUUUGCAAUAUGUCAGAAAAACCGGCCACACCCCACCAACCACUUUACGUCAGGUUUACAUUUACUGUGCCCCGGUAACCUUGACCCCUCCUCCCACUCCCCCCUUGCCCUUUCUCUUCCGUCGGCCUUCUUCGUUGAGCCUCACCACGCUGUCCAUUCUUCUCGGCUCAGUCAAUGCGGUCUACCCUCUUGCUGAAGUCGCUCCUUUCUACAAAUAUGGAUUGAAGCUGAAUCGAAGUUCUUGAGUCCUGGCGGAGUUGGUCUAUUUCUUCCAUCUGGCGGAGCGGGUGGAUUUCCGACAAAUCUAGCUCCACAUAUGGAGCCUAGAAAAUCGCCAAGAUCAAGAAAACAAAUCCAGUCUGAACUUUCUAGCGAUGCAUCCAGUGAUGAUGAUGUUUCUUCUAGAUCCAAAAGCACUACUAACAGCAAAAGAACUUCUCCAAAGAAGAUUAAGAGGGCCAAUAGGAAGGAUGUAGUUCAUAGCAUCAAUUGGAAAUGUAGCCCUCACAGACUUGCAGAACUUAUAAACAAAUUAACUCCAAGGCAACUACAAUGGGUUCAAGAAAUGGGAUUCCAGUCUGUUACUGAUAUGCCUCCACAUAAAUUACCUCGUCGGUUGUUGCUAUGGCUUGUCAAAAGGGUUGACUGUAAAAGCAAGUCUUUGGUAUUAAGAAACAGGAAAAUAUCUAUCUUGGAUGCCGUCGAGAAUAUUCUGAAGUUUCCAUCUGGGAAUUUAGAUGUUCCAAUGCCUCCUACUAGAAAUCCUAGAUAUGAGGCGUUUACAAAACUAGAGAAAUUCAGGUCAGAGAAAGCUGGAAGAGGACAAACUUUGGCGGAAGAAGAAAAAGAAUUGAUAACAUACAAGAAUCUAGAAGACAAAUAAAAGUUUUGCCUUUCUUCUAUGGAGAUCAUAUUAUGUGUAUAUUUGGCACCAACUACAUGCCACAAUGUCAAGAGAAGUUAUUUGCUAGGUGAUUUGGAAGAUAUGUCAAAGGUUUCUUUAAUGAAUUGGUGCACUUUUGUUGUUAAUUAUUUAAUUAGAGAUAUCAAAGACACCAGGACAAAGAAAUUCAGGAACAUCAACCUUCAAGGCUGUCUACACAUCCUUAUUAUCUGGUUAAGCAGUCAAUUAUCAAUGUACCGGCUGGAACACCUCGUGUUAAGUUCCUUAUGAAUGAUAUAAUUGAUGAAUUGGAGUUCACUUGUCAUAAGAGAGGUCGAGACGAUGAACAACUCUUUGAGUCAAUUCUGGAUGAAGAAAAGUUGUCAAAAUAUCCUUUAGUUGAACCUAACAAUGUUUCCGAACAAGAAGAAAGUGAUUCAAAUGAUCAGGAAGUUUCUACCCAACAAGAUGAAGGUCAUACUUCUAGAAGACGCGUGCGCAUUGCUUCACACAGUGAGAGAUGUACCGGUAGGUCUUCCAAACGACGGAGAAGUACCACCAAUGAGCAAGAGACUUCGAAUAUCCAGAAGGCAUUUAGUGAAGCAAAGUGUUUUUCGAGUAAAAACAUUGAACAAAUGAAGACAUACUACAAAACAGACGAGAUUCAGCAUAACAUAUAUCAAUGGAUUUAUUCGGGAAGGAAAUCGGCUAUUCCUUGAUAAAGCAUGUUCAUAAUGAUCUUAAUCCGGACAGACAUGAGAUAGCAGCAUUGAGAGGAGAUGCUGAAACAACAUCAGAAUGAUCUGUUGAUAUUUAUCCUGCUUUGAAAACAGUGGUUGUUCUAUGAAACUUCUUAUGAUGUAGAUGUGAGACUAUUUUUUGGAUGUAAUGGAAUAUGGUAGUACUACUA